rnacentral:rRNA from 1 species
GACGAACGCUGGCGGCGUGCUUAACACAUGCAAGUCGAACGGUAAGGCCCUUCGGGGUACACGAGUGGCGAACGGGUGAGUAACACGUGGGUGAUCUGCCCUGCACUUCGGGAUAAGCCUGGGAAACUGGGGCUAAUACCGGAUAGGACCCUGGGAUGCAUGUCCUGGGGUGGAAAGCUUUUGCGGUGUGGGAUGGGCCCGCGGCCUAUCAGCUUGUUGGUGGGGGGAUGGCCGACCAAGGCGACGACGGGUAGCCGGCCUGAGAGGGUGACCGGGCACACUGGGACUGUGAUACGGCCCAGACUCCUACGGGAGGCAGCAGUGGGGAAUAUUGCACAAUGGGCGCAAGCCUGAUGCAGCGACGCCGCGUGAGGGAUGACGGCCUUCGGGUUGUAAACCUCUUUCAGCACCGACGAAGCGCAAGUGACGGUAGGUGCAGAAGAAGGACCGGCCAACUACGUGCCAGCAGCCGCGGUAA